UGCCUUUCUUUGUUUUAAUUGCCUAAUGUUCCAGCCAGCGUUACUGUAGUGUUUAGUACAAAGGGUUUGCCAGUAUCUCUUUCUUUUAAAGAAAUCACUUAAAAGAUUGAAACUUUUACUGCUUUCUUCCGCAACAUGAUGGUGAAGGAGUAGAAAAAUAAAGUAUAAUUGAAUAAAUUUAUUUUGAGGAACAAUUAGCCCAUGAUAUGAGGAUCACUGAAUAAAUUUGUCGCUAGACGAGGUGCAGAGUAUGAUACUAAAGUAGAUGUAAAUGAUUUCAUAGGAAGUUAUACAGGCAUUCCAUGCUAACGGCAAUGAUGAAAAAAAUUCAAGUGAAUAUAUUGUAACUUGCAGGAAAAAGUUACAAGGACAGUUCAAGUGUCGAGGAAAAAAAUUCUUUCCAUCUCCAAUCAUGUAUCAGUAAUUCACUGUUAAUGAGUAUUGAGAACUCAAUAAGAUCUUUCAAGCAAAUGCCAAAGCACAAAGUGGUCCAGUGAAUUUGCAUCGAGUCCAUGAUUCUGAUUUCUUAUUUGAUCUCUAGUGUUUUAUGAUUAUAUGAUCAGCUGCUGUCUUUUAUACAUCCCAUGUCACUUUAUACUAAUUGUUGCCCCUAGACCUGGCCAGUGGGCUGGUCCAGUCUGGUUCCGGUCCCUGGAGCUGAGGGCUGGGGACCGGAUGUAGUUUGAUCUGAUUUGAGCCAAUCUAACGAAUGAAUUUUUUUUCAAAUAUGUUCAUUUUUUUUAAAAGAAAAAUAAAGUGGGGGUGGUUUGGGGGGUGG
rnacentral:misc_RNA from 1 species